GGGGGCUCGCGUUGUUCGGAAUUACUGGGCGUAAAGCGCACGUAGGCGGCUUUGUAAGUUAGAGGUGAAAGCCCGGGGCUCAACUCCGGAAUUGCCUUUAAGACUGCAUCGCUAGAAUUGUGGAGAGGUAAGUGGAAUUCCGAGUGUAGAGGUGAAAUUCGUAGAUAUUCGGAAGAACACCAGUGGCGAAGGCGACUUACUGGACACAUAUUGACGCUGAGGUGCGAAAGCGUGGGGAGCAAACAGG
rnacentral:rRNA from 1 species